CCCUUAGAUGUUCUGGGCCGCACGCGUGCUACACUGAGUAAUUCAAUGGGUAAGGGAACGCUAGAGCAUUACCUAAUAUUGAAAUUUGCUCGUGAUGGGGAUCGACGGUUGCAAUUUUCCGUCGUGAACGAGGAAUACCUUGUAGGCGCAUGUCAUCAUCAUGCGCCGAAUACGUCCCUGCCCUUUGUACACACCGCCCGUCGCUCCUACCGAUUGAGUGAUCCGGUGAGGCUCUGGGACCUGGACGGAAAGAGCGUUUCGCUUGUUCUGUUUGGGAAACUUGGUCGAACCUUAUCAUUUAGAGGAAGGAGAAGUCGUAACA
rnacentral:rRNA from 1 species